GCACUUUUAGCUUAAUUGGUUAGAGUAACAAUCUUCGAAAUUGUUAGUAUAGGUUCAAAUCCUAUAAAGUGUU
rnacentral:tRNA from 2 species